GCUAAAGUGGUGCUCCAGGUUAAGAACAGUUUCAGGUUAAGAACGGACCUCCAGAAUGAAUUAAGUUCUUAACUUGAGGUACCACUGUAUAACUGUUUGGGAUUUACUUCUUUUUCCAUAUACCUGGCUAAAAUUACAUUAAGAGUCUGGCAAGGAUGCAAAGCCAAAAGGAGUGAAAGUGCUUUGCAUGAGUGAUAUUUUUGUUCAGGUUAAGCUAUAUAGAGUUUAAAUUCUCCAUAUAGAUGCAAUCCCCACGAAAGAGAGCCUCGUAUUGCCUAAUCCCUUCCCAGUAGUAUUAUUAUUAAUUACUACAACUACUAUUUUAAUAGGUUGUCCUCCGUUCACCCUAAGGUCCCAAGGUAGGUUACAACAGUUAAAAUACAAUGUUAAAAACAGCUUAAACAAUCGACGCCUGCAAAAAUAGGGUGGCAGGUGUCAAAGAGUUGGGUCUUCUGCAUUUGCCGAAAGCUGUAUUUUCACAACUAAGGGGCUGUCACAGUGGAUGUCCUCUCCCAGCCCAUCACCUCCCUGAGAUUCUGAGGACGGUGUAACUACCAAGAGGGACCUCUCUGCUGAACUUUGACACCCGAGGGGGUCUGUAGAGACCUCCCCUGCCUUACCCUUCCCUUUUUUUUGGGGAGAAUACUAGGCUGGCAAAGGAAAGGAAGAAAAUUAGUGUUUGGAUCUGCAUUAUUUUAUGGCUAUAGAUAGGAAGGAACUGGAGCAAACAGAAAUGCAGGAAAAUAAGUGGGAGUCAGAGGCUUGUUAGAAAAUUGUACUGUGACAAAUGUUUCUGUCGGCAGCCUAGCUGCAAACUAGGCAUAGGCAAACUCGGCCCUCCAGAUGUUUUGGGACUACAACUCCCAUCAUCCCAAACUAACAGGACCAGUGGUCAGGGAUGAUGGGAAUUGUAGUCCCAAAACAUCUGGAGGGCUAAAUUUGCCUAUGCCUGCUGUAAACCAAGAUGAUAAAUGGAUACCCGUCAGACCCCUAAGUUGUCAAGAUUUAAUUGUGAAUUAAACAUUCACUGAAGUGAAUAUAUAGUUCACUGUGAAGCUUGCUUGUCUCCCCCCGCCGCCACCUCCUAUCAAAAAAGACUAUUGGUACUAUCACUGAUCAUCUGAGUUAAGCACCUGACUGAUGGUGCAAUGUUUUUCUCCUACCACUAUUGGUGCAGAACGAAAUGUGAUGUUUGCUGUUCAUAGUUAUCCUCUCCCUACAACAUUUAGGAAAAGCCGUGGCUUCCUGCCAGCAACAGCCAGUCACGUGGAACAGAGAGCUCAAGACCCUUAAGUUGCUCAGCUGUCUGCGAUAUCAACAACAUAUCGAACAAGGAGGCCUAAGCUAAGACAGUAGAAACUUCUCAAGUGAGGCAGUCACAGCAGCAGGUUGCAGUACUAUGUCAGACUUCAGAAGAUGAAGCAGCACAAAACGGUAGGAUACACAUAAGUACUUAAAGGGGGGGAAAGGGGAAUGCUUAAGAUAAGAGCAGCUGUUUUCAGGCCUUGUGAAGGCAUCCUUUGCCAGCUGUUCCAAUUUGUGGUAUAGACAUCAAAAUGAGCGUGCAGACUCUGCUGCACGUUGUUCAAAUUUCAGGGGCUCACAUAGACACAUAAAAGCUGCAGUGAGGUCAGAGGCUGAGAAGUGGUCUACAGGCUUACAAGAGUUGCUCUCAGACCUUAAGAACCACCAGUGCCGCAUCCUGUGUGGCAGUGAACAAGGUUCAGGUGGCAGAAGGCAAGGCGGCUGAUGGCCUUGCAUGAGUUGGGAUGCUUGGAAACAGGAUGUGCGUGCCAUGGCAGCAGCAACACUAAGCACAUCUUCCCCCAAGAAACACUGAGACAUACCCCUGAAAGUCAAAUUCCAGCCCACCACUAGAAGGCAGCUUGUAAGGGGCUGGGG